rnacentral:rRNA from 1 species
GAUGAACGCUAGCUACAGGCUUAACACAUGCAAGUCGAGGGGAAACGAUAUUGGAAGCUUGCUUCCGAUAGGCGUCGACCGGCGCACGGGUGAGUAACGCGUAUCCAACCUGCCCACCACUUGGGGAUAACCUUGCGAAAGUAAGACUAAUACCCAAUGACGUCCAUAGAAGACAUCUGAAAUGGAUUAAAGAUUUCUCGGUGAUGGAUGGGGAUGCGUCUGAGUAGCUUGUUGGCGGGGUAACGGCCCACCAAGGCGACGAACAGUAGGGGUUCUGAGAGGAAGGUCCCCCACAUUGGAACUGAGACACGGUUCAAACUCCUACGUGAGGCAGCAGUGAGGAAUAUUGGUCAAUGGGCGAGAGCCUGAACCAGCCAAGUAGCGUGCAGGAUGACGGCCCUAUGGGUUGUAAACUGCUUUUAUAAGGGAAUAAAGUGAGCCUCGUGAGGCUUUUUGCAUGUACCUUAUGAAUAAGGACCGGCUAAUUCCGUGCCAGCAGCCGCCGUAA